UACGUAGGGGGGCUAGCGUUGUCCGGAUUUAUUGGGCGUAAAGAGCGUGUAGGCGGCCAGGUAGGUCUGCUGUGAAAACUCGAGGCUCAACCUCGAGACGUCGGCGGAAACCAUCUGGCUAGAGUCCGGAAGAGGAGAGUGGAAUUCCGUGGUGUAGCGGUGAAAUGCGCAGAUAUCAGGAAGAACACCCGUGGCGAAGGCGGCUCUCUGGG
rnacentral:rRNA from 1 species